rnacentral:tmRNA from 1 species
GGGGGCGAUCGGCUUCGACUGGUUCUCCGCGGGUGUGGGUCGCGUGCCGUGGUUGAUCAGCCGGCCACGUAAAAAGCUGAUCACACAAUAACUGCCAACAAGCAGUACGCUCUGGUUGCUUAAAUAAGUGACCCCGGCCUAGGAAUCCCUGCCUGAGGAGUCCAAACGCCGGUCACAAAAUCAGGCUGGCUGCCGGUCAACGGACACUACGCCGGCAGCGAGACAAGUCGUGACCUGGCUGCGUAAGGCCCUGUCGGCCGUGCCGAUCGCAGCGAGACCCAAACGACCGUCUACGCACGUAGAAGCCCCAUCUCAGGGUUCACAGGACGCGGGUUCGAUUCCCGCCGCCUCCACUC